UCCGCUGGCGGCGGUCGACGUAGGUUAGUCGUUUCGGGCCGUGUUGGGCAUUUGUGAUCACGGUAACGGCAGCUUGCACACGCGAAAUAGCGAGUUUGAUGUUCACGGAUGAAAGCAGUGUCCAGUUCUGGAGCAGAGGCAUGUUGCUGGGUUCUGAGGAACAUCACUGUCCUAAUGCCCUAUUCCCACCCCCCACCACCGGCUUCAUUGCUUGCCUGGAGGGGCAAGUAUGUGGUCAGGGGAAUCGUGCCCUGAGCGCGGGCUGGGCAGACAGUGCCAAUAUCUGUGGGAGCUGAGCAGACCGAAGCAUAAAGGACCCUUGCAGCAUGUGACUUGGUGAAUUCUGAGCGCAUCUCCCCUUUUUAUAAAAGCAAAAGGGUCUUCCAUUUCAGAUAGGAGGAAGAGAAAUCUCUCAUCUUGGGCAGGACAUAUACGCACCCCAGACUGUGGUGGAGAGGCUGCAUUGGGCAUGUGCCCAGUUGGAGAUGGGUAGCCCUGUGACUACAGUGGGUGCAGAGCUGACUGCCCUAUUGAGGGGCUGAAUAGCCACAUGAUUGCCUGUGUGGAGUUGGUGGGGACAGGCAAUGGGUCAGGUUAGCAGUGACAGUGUCAACUGCCCCCUUUUUCCAAUGAAUUGGACCCGCUGACCCCCUGAUGUCGCAUUGGCAGGGUUACUGCCAAAGCUCGAUGGAUUGGUACCACCCUUUGAGGCUAUGGGGCUAAAGUCUGGCCUCCGACACAGUCCCCUGAUUUGUAAGUGAUGGUCACAUUGGCAAAUGGACCCUUCGCUGCAACUCUUCAAUGCCAGACUAAAUUAGUCCCACUUGCCAGCUCCACAUCCCUCUAAACCUUUCCCAUCCAGAUGCCUUUUUCAAUGUAACUUCUGGCCUCUCCUUCCUCUAGCAGCUUGGUCCAUAUGCGCUCCACCCUCUGAAAGAACUGGCUAGCUAGUACCUCCCAGCUAGCAGAGAUACAGUGAAUUUGGGGAAAUGGGAUGGGUCCUGGUCUAAUAGCUGAGGAUGACAGGCUCAGUAACUGAUGGGCUGCGAAUGCCAGUCAGUGGUUCUCUGGCCCGGUACAGGACUGGUGUAAUGUAGCAGAUACCCAUCGACAUGACUGAUGCCAGUCCUGUGACACUGCCCAAGAGAAGAUCUGGUUCUCUGGACUGGUCAGACCAUCUGAGAGUUGGCCGUUUCUCCCAUGGAGUCGCUUGGAGCGCUGACCACGCUGGGGAAUGCUGGGGUGGGGUGUGUGUGUGGGUGGGGAAGAGGGGAACACUCUUAGAUGAGCUGAACGACCUGUGUGUAGAGCAGCGUCUCAUGAGGGUGGGUCAGGGAGAGACCACCCUCUGCCAAGGUGAAUGUUGCUCGUGGAGCCAAGAGGGAUGGGUGCCGCCCAAUGCAAAUAUUGACAGGAGCCGAUCCUGGCUCCGCUGAGAUGUGCCAACGCUCGGCUGCUGCAUUCCUGUGGGGCACUGGGGAAAACCAGAGGGACAGCUUUCUGGGUUUGGUCUACACACACAGCAGCAUGUCCUUGCUCAGAGUUGCUCUUUUGUAAGAACACCACAAAGUUGCACAAAUUGUGGGGAUUUUGGAUGUAGUUUAGAAGCUCUUGCGUGGGAUGAGGAGGAAAGGGUGGGGGGGGGGGAAAUGGGGGUGAGCGAUCUGAGUGGUGUAUUAUACCCGUGUUGACCUGGCAAGCAGCAGCAGCAGAUGCUCAGGCACUCAAUGGGUUCAGUCCUUGAAGCAGGGCUAACCUGUUUGUCCAGGGAUAUUGCACACCUGAGCCGAUGGACCUCCCACUCACGAGGUCGGGACGCUACCUCAGUUACAAGAGCCCUUGAGCCUAAGCUAAUACUUUCAGCAGGGGGUGUGGGAGGAAGAGAACAUGUUUCAAAUUAAUAUUGGAAUUUCAAAUUAGAUGAAUAAAUGUGGAUUUGAAAUCUCA